AGCACGGGAGCAAUCCUGGUGGCGAGUGGCGAACGGGUGAGUAAUAUAUCGGAACGUGCCCAGUCGUGGGGGAUAACGUAGCGAAAGCUACGCUAAUACCGCAUACGAUCUAUGGAUGAAAGCGGGGGAUCGCAAGACCUCGCGCGAUUGGAGCGGCCGAUAUCAGAUUAGCUAGUUGGUGGGGUAAAAGCCCACCAAGGCGACGAUCUGUAGCUGGUCUGAGAGGACGACCAGCCACACUGGAACUGAGACACGGUCCAGACUCCUACGGGAGGCAGCAGUGGGGAAUUUUGGACAAUGGGCGCAAGCCUGAUCCAGCAAUGCCGCGUGCAGGACGAAGGCCUUCGGGUUGUAAACUGCUUUUGUACGGAACGAAAAAGUCUGCCCUAAUACGGUGGGCUCAUGACGGUACCGUAAGAAUAAGCACCGGCUAACUACGUGCCAGCAGCCGCGGUAAUACGUAGGGUGCAAGCGUUAAUCGGAAUUACUGGGCGUAAAGCGUGCGCAGGCGGUUUUGUAAGACAGAUGUGAAAUCCCCGGGCUCAACCUGGGACCUGCAUUUGUGACUGCAAAGCUAGAGUACGGCAGAGGGGGAUGGAAUUCCGCGUGUAGCAGUGAAAUGC
rnacentral:rRNA from 1 species